GACAGAGGGGGCAAGCGUUGCUCGGAAUUACUGGGCGUAAAGGGCGCGUAGGCGGGAUGGCAAGUCGGUCGUGAAAUCCCUCGGCUCAACUGAGGAUCGUCGAUCGAUACUGCCGUUCUUGAGGAUUGCAGAGGAGACUGGAAUUCCCGGUGUAGCGGUGAAAUGCGUAGAUAUUGGGAGGAACACCAGUGGCGAAGGCGGCUUCUUGGGCCUUAACUGACGCUGAGGCGCGAAAGCUGGGGGAGCGAACGGG
rnacentral:rRNA from 1 species